GCGAUGAUUUGGAGCUGCUUCGUCGUCGGAUUCGCUGGAUUUUUACUAGAAUUUUUGAAAUAUUCGAAAUGGGCGGCCUCAAUGCAAAUGCGCCCCGCCGGUGACGUAGAUCGGAGAACCAAGUACGGUGGAUGUGUAGUUCCUAGUGAAAACCGGAAGAAAUUGUGAUUUUUCCGCCGGCGGAAGAGAUCAAUCGAUUUAUCGAUUUUUACAGAUUUUGGGCGAGGCACGUUGUUCAAGCAAUGUAUCAUUUUUGGCAAACACUUCUGGCAUUCAUUUUAAUGAACAUUUAUAUGACUUUUAAU
rnacentral:sRNA from 1 species